rnacentral:pre_miRNA from 1 species
UAGGGUUAAAUCAAUGUGGGGCGUACAUUUUGAAAAUGGAACCCACAAAAAGUGGUGGGACAUACAUUGGUUUCAGCCAA